rnacentral:rRNA from 3 species
GGACCUCAGAUCAGGCAAGAUUACCCGCUGAGUUUAAGC